rnacentral:rRNA from 1 species
GACGAACGCUGGCGGCGUGCCUAACACAUGCAAGUCGAACGGAGAUAUGAUUUCGGUUAUAUCUUAGUGGCGAACGGGUGAGUAACGCGUGAGCAACCUGACCUUCAGAGGGGGAUAACACUUGGAAACAGGUGCUAAUACCGCAUAAGACCACGACCCGACAUCGGGAUGCGGUCAAAGGAGCAAUCCGCUGAGGGAGGGGCUCGCGUCCCAUUAGAUAGAUGGCGGGGUAACGGCCCACCAUGUCGACGAUGGGUAGCCGAGCUGAGAGGCUGAUCGGCCACACUGGAACUGAGACACGGUCCAGACUCCUACGGGAGGCAGCAGUGGGGAAUAUUGGGCAAUGGGCGCAAGCCUGACCCAGCAACGCCGCGUGAGGGAAGAAGGCCUUCGGGUUGUAAACCUCUGUCCUUGGUUGACGGAAACAAAUGACGGUAGCCAAGGAGGAAGCCCCGGCUAACUAACGUGCCAGCAGCCGCGGUAAU